GAUUGGAAGGGGUGUAUUUAUUAGAUAAAGAACCAACGCCCUUCGGGGCUCCUUGGUGAAUCAUAAUAACUAAGCGAAUCGCAUGGCCUUGCGCCGGCGAUGGUUCAUUCAAAUUUCUGCCCUAUCAACUUUCGAUGGUAAGAUAGUGGCUUACCAUGGUGGCAACGGGUAACGGGGAAUUAGGGUUCGAUUCCGGAGAGGGAGCCUGAGAAACGGCUACCACAUCCAAGGAAGGCAGCAGGCGCGCAAAUUACCCAAUCCCGACACGGGGAGGUAGUGACAAUAAAUACUGAUACGGGGCUCUUUUGGGUCUCGUAAUUGGAAUGAGUACAAUCUAAAUCCCUUAACGAGGAACAAUUGGAGGGCAAGUCUGGUGCCAGCAAAUCGUCGA
rnacentral:rRNA from 1 species